rnacentral:rRNA from 1 species
ACGCUGAAGGAGGAGCUUGCUUCUCUGGAUGAGUUGCGAACGGGUGAGUAACGCGUAGGUAACCUGCCUGGUAGCGGGGGAUAACUAUUGGAAACGAUAGCUAAUACCGCAUAAGAGUAGAUGUUGCAUGACAUUUGCUUAAAAGGUGCACUUGCAUCACUACCAGAUGGACCUGCGUUGUAUUAGCUAGUUGGUGGGGUAACGGCUCACCAAGGCGACGAUACAUAGCCGACCUGAGAGGGUGAUCGGCCACACUGGGACUGAGACACGGCCCAGACUCCUACGGGAGGCAGCAGUAGGGAAUCUUCGGCAAUGGACGGAAGUCUGACCGAGCAACGCCGCGUGAGUGAAGAAGGUUUUCGGAUCGUAAAGCUCUGUUGUAAGAGAAGAACGAGUGUGAGAGUGGAAAGUUCACACUGUGACGGUAUCUUACCAGAAAGGGACGGCUAAC